rnacentral:rRNA from 1 species
CUACGGAGGGUGCAAGCGUUAAUCGGAAUUACUGGGCGUAAAGCGUACGUAGGUGGUUUGUUAAGUUGGAUGUGAAAGCCCAGGGCUCAACCUUGGAACUGCAUUCAAAACUGGCGAACUAGAGUAUGGUAGAGGAUAGUGGAAUUUCAGGUGUAGCGGUGAAAUGCGUAGAGAUCUGAAGGAACACCAGUGGCGAAGGCGACUGUCUGGGCCAAUACUGACGCUGAGGUACGAAAGCAUGGGUAGCGAACAGGAUUAGAUACCCUGGUAGUCCAUGCCGUAAACGAUGAGGACUAGCUGUUGGAUGUAUUAGAAACAUCAAGUAGCGAAGCUAACGCGAUAAGUCUCCGCCUGGGGAUACGGCCGCAAGGCUAAACUCAAAGGAAUUGACGGGGCCCGCACAAGCGGUGGAGCAUGUGGUUUAAUUCGAUAAUAAGCGAAAAACCUUCCUAACCCUUGACAUCCUUAGAAUCCCAAAGAAAUUUGGGA